CUCCAGGAUCUUGUUCUUCUUCCCAUAAUUUUCCUUUACCCAUUGACGACGAAGAUUCGCCUCUAUUGUCACCGGAGUUAGUAUUAUAAGCACCAGUGCCGCCAACAACACCGCAGCUUUCUUGGUGAUCUCUCUUCAUCUUCGCUUCUUUUGUUGCAAAGACCAAUCACGGAGACAUAGGGCUUAUUGGCUCGCUUUGUUUUUUCGUUUUAUAUUCUUAGACAAAAAAUACUGAGAGAAUAAUUGGACGUAGAGGAGAUGGGUGUGAGGUCCAGUGGAG
rnacentral:misc_RNA from 1 species